GGGAGGCCUACACAUGCAAGCCGAGGGGUAUUUAGGAGCUUGCUUCUAGAGAGACCGGCGCACGGGUGCGUAACGCGUAUGUAACUUGCCUCUAUCAUUGGGAUAGCCCGGGGAAACCCGGAUUAAUACCGAAUAUAAUAAGAAUCAACCUUGGUACUUAUUGAAAGAUUUAUCGGAUAGAGAUAGGCAUGCGUAGGAUUAGUUAGUUGGUAAGGUAACGGCUUACCAAGACAGUGAUCCUUAGGGGGCCUGAGAGGGUGAUCCCCCACACUGGAACUGAGACCGGACCAGACUCCUACGGGAGGCAGCAGUGAGGAAUAUUGGACAAUGGGUGAGAGCCUGAUCCAGCCAUCCCGCGUGAAGGACGACAGCCCUAUGGGUUUUAAACUUCUUUUGUAUGGGGAUAAACCUAUCUACGAGUAGAUAGCUGAAGGUACCAUACGAAUAAGCAUCGGCUAACUCCGUGCCAGCAGCCGCGGUAAUACGGAGGAUGCAAGCGUUAUCCGGAUUUAUUGGGUUUAAAGGGUCCGUAGGCGGAUUUGUAAGUCAGCGGUGAAAUCCUACAGCUUAACUGUAGAACUGCCGUUGAUACUGCAAGUCUUGAAUAGUAUUGAAGUAGCCGGAAUGUGUAGUGUAGCGGUGAAAUGCAUAGAUAUUACACAGAACACCAAUUGCGAAGGCAGGUUACUAAAUACCGAUUGACGCUGAUGGACGAAAGCGUGGGGAGCGAACAGGAUUAGAUACCCUGGUAGUCCACGCCGUAAACGAUGGAUACUCGCUGUUGGGCUUUAGGGCUCAGCGGCUAAGCGAAAGUAAUAAGUAUCCCACCUGGGGAGUACGACCGCAAGGUUGAAACUCAAAGGAAUUGACGGGGGCCCGCACAAGCGGUGGAGCAUGUGGUUUAAUUCGAUGAUACGCGAGGAACCUUACCAGGCUUAAAUGGGAAUUGACGUAAUUGGAAACAGUUAUUUCUUCGGACAUUUUCAAGGUGCUGCAUGGUUGUCGUCAGCUCGU
rnacentral:rRNA from 1 species